CGGACGGGUGAGUAACGCGUGGAUAACCUACCUAUAAGACUGGGAUAACUUCGGGAAACCGGAGCUAAUACCGGAUAAUAUAUUGAACCGCAUGGUUCAAUAGUGAAAGACGGUUUUGCUGUCACUUAUAGAUGGAUCCGCGCCGCAUUAGCUAGUUGGUAAGGUAACGGCUUACCAAGGCGACGAUGCGUAGCCGACCUGAGAGGGUGAUCGGCCACACUGGAACUGAGACACGGUCCAG
rnacentral:rRNA from 1 species